AAUAACCUCAUUUUUUAUUUUUCCGUGUCUAAUGUUUGACCAUUCGUUUUAUUUAAAAAAAUUUUACGAUCAAUAUUUUUAUUAUUACUAUAUGAUAAAAUAUAAAUAGUACUUUACAUGUGACUAAUUUUUUUAAGUUUUUAUAUAAAUUUUUUAAAUAAGACGAAUGGUCAAACGUUGGACACGAAAAAAC
rfam:Oryza brachyantha chromosome 1, whole genome shotgun sequence.